rnacentral:lncRNA from 1 species
UUUUGUAUACAGUAUAAAAACGAAAAUUUCUCAAUCAUUAACCCAAACCUAAUUUCAUACCAAAUCGCCUUUACUCUCCGGUCGUCUCUUCCACGUAUAUCAUCAAAUCUACCAUCUCAGUAAAGCAAAAUCUGUUGAUGAGCAUACCUUACAUCGAGAAUUCAAGUUACUGAUAAAAAUUGCAUUACCAAUAUUGAACACUAAAUAGGUUCCUUUGCCAUCAAAGUUCGAAUUGCCAGGAGAAUUGCUUGAACUUGACACGCUAAAUGAUCCAAGCCUGCCACUCAUGCCACUAAUAGACAUACUUCCACCAUUUUCUCCAACAAAACUAAGUAUUUUACUACCAUUUCCACCUAAGAACCUUGCUGUAGCGGACCUAACACCACUGCUCACUCCAAAACUUGAUGAUGAUUGGGGCUGCGCUGCAUCGGUAUAUCCUUGAGAUGAGCAAGGGUUACCUGAAAAAAAAAUUACUAUUAUCUCAUUGGUGGAUCCUCGAUUUCGGGUAAAAAGACAGAUAAUGAAUUUUCAAUUCGGAGUUAAAAGGCAGAUAAGAACAAAACCAAUUUACUGUAAAACUCAAUUAUUCAAACCCCCAAGAAUAUACCUUGAACUUGAAAUUAACCUUCUUCUUGGGUAUGUACCGGGUUGAAAUUAACCUUGAACUUGAAAUUAACCUUCUUUAACAAAAGAGAUUAAGGUUGAAAUUAGGUUUGGGUUAAUAGUUUGGGUAUGUUUUAAUCGGAUUUGGUUUGGG